AUGAUGCCCCUUGGACGGUGUCCCAGUCCCACCCGGCCCGAGAUCCCCCAAUUUCCCCAACCCCCGAAACCCAAACAGCGCAAUCCCAAACCCAAACCUAAGCCCAGACCGAGAGACCCCGCACCCAAAUCUAGGGUUUCGCUCCCCCGCCGCAGGAUGGCUGCCCCCGCCGCCGCCGGCUCCGGCGCCGUCGUGCCCGCUGGUGACGGCGAGGGUUGGACCCCCAGUUUCGGCGACAUGGUCUGGGGCAAGGUGAAGUCGCAUCCGUGGUGGCCGGGCCACGUCUACAGCCUCACCCUCUCCGACGAUCCGGAGGUGCAUCGCGGCCACCGCCAUGGCCUCGUCCUCGUCGCCUUCUUCGGCGACGGCAGCUACGGCUGGUUCGAGCCGCACGAGCUCGUCCGCUUCGAGGACCACUUCGUCGAGAAGACCUCGCAGGGGGGCAGCCGCACCUUCCCCGCCGCCGUCGCCGAGUCCCUCGACGAGAUCUCGCGCCGCAGCGCGCUCGCGCUCCUCUGCCCCUGCCGUGGACCCGACACCUUCCGCUUCCACAACGAGGAUCGCAUGUUCCUCCUGGUGAACGUGCCCGGGUUCGACAGCAACGCCGAGUACCUCCCCGAGCAGGUGACGGCCGCAAGGGAGCGGUUCGUUCCGCAGAAGAUGUAUGACUUCCUGCAGAACGCUGCCGUGCAGCAGCGGGACGCGGCGGAGACGGCCGCACGUACCUUGCCUGGGAUCGAGAUGGCAGCGAUGCUCAUGGCGUACCGCCGGUCUAGGUACGAGAGGUACGACCUCACCUACGCCGAAUCAUUUGGUGUGGAUUCGAAGAAGGCCCUUGAAGGCGAGGUCAAGGCUGAGAAUGAACGGUCUCAACGAGCUCGCCCGCUCAAGGGUCGGCAGAAGGUGCCGGAGAAGGAGAACGCCCCGGCCAGGGGCCGGAGGGGCGCCGCCGGCGCGGCCGCGAGGCUCAUGGAGAAGAUCAUGCCCGGCGCGCCCGCCAUCAAGCCCAAGGCCAGCAAGAAGGACCAGUACCUGCUCAAGCGCCGGGAAGACGCGCGCGUGCCGGCGCUGCCGCCAGCCGCGCUCCCGGACGCGGCUCCCGCCCCGGACGACGGUGGCCCGCCGCCUGGCUUCCCCCCGGCUGAGCCGCAGACGCCGCCGCUGCCCAGCAGCACCGGAGGCGCCGAUGAGGAGGAGUUUAUGCUGCAGAGACGCGCGCUCCCUCCCGCUGACCAGGCGAGCGACGGCGGGGCUACCGCGGACGCCGCAGCCGCCGCCACUGCGCCGAACAAGGUGGCCAAGCCCAAGAAGGCCCGCAAGCGCGAGAGGGAGGAGCCUGCCGAAGACGUGGCCACCGCCGACGGCGAGCCCAAGAAGAAGAAGAAAAAGAAGAAGCUCGCUGAACUCAACGGCGGCGUGCCCUCUGCCGCCCCCUCCGGCGACGGCGGCGGCGCUACAAAGCCCGCAGCUUUCUCGCCCCCCAAGGUCGACCUUGACGGAUUAGAUCUGACACAGGUAAUAUCCGACCUUCAAAACCUUCCGCUGCUUCCCUUCUACGGCGCCGGCAGACGCAUCUCUGACGCCUCUCACUCCUUCAUCCUGGCGUUCCGCUCGAAACACUACAAAAAGAGCUAUGAGAACGAUCCGCCGGAAGAGACAAAGAAGGGCUUGGAUAAUAAGCCCAAUGUCGUUGCUGCCGCCGCCGCCGUCGUCUCUGACGGCCAGCCCCCCAAACCGUUGAAGAAGAAGCCGGUCAUGAGGCCCAGCGACCCCACCAGUGCUGGCGUCAAGCGCCCGCCGUCUGACCGCCAGGAGGAGAUUGCCUCCAAGAAGAAAAUCAAGCUGGACAAGAUUAAGACUCUGGCCGCCGACAAGAAGGCCGGGCUGGAGCAGAAAGUCGUCACCGCCACCGCAGCUGCGGGAGGCGGGACGACGGCGGCGGCUCAGCUGCGGCGGGCUGGCAUGAAGGAGAAGGCUCUGGCGGCAGCCAAGAAGAAGGUGCCAGCGGCGGCGCCUGUGAAGAGGACGCCGUCGCCGACGGCGCUGAUGAUGAAGUUCCCGCUGAAGAGCACGCUGCCGUCGGUGGCCUCCCUCAAGGCGAGGUUCGCGCGCUUCGGGCCGCUCGACAUCGACGGCAUCCGCGUGUACUGGAAGUCCUACAUGUGCCGGGUCAUCUACAAGUUCCAGUCCGACGCGGAGGCCGCGCUCAAGUAUGCCAAGGCCAACGCCAUGUUCGGCCAGGUGGCCCCCAACUACUACCUGCGCGGCGUCGAGGGAGGGUCGGCCGGCGCCGACCCAGGGCCUGAGGCGGCCCCUCCGCAGCGCUCUGACCUGCGGCUCAUGGAGACCACGCCGUUCAGGCCUGGGAGCUCCGGCAAUGGCGCUCCGCUGACGCUGUCCAAGGCGGUGCCGGCGCGCAUGUCGGUUGGGCUGCCCAAGUCAAUCCUGAAGAAGAGCAACGACGAGGGCGGGUUGGCUGCGGCCAGCGCGCUCCGGGACUCCCCUCGGGUGAAAUUCGUGCUGGACGGCGGGGACAGCAUGCUCGAGCCACCUCCAUUGCCAGCGAGCUUCGACGGAAACAAUGGCCCGGACACUGCUGCACCAGUGAGCAAGAUCGCGAGGUCGCUCGGCUUCGCACAGCCGCCUCUGCAGCCGCCGGCACGCCCUGCGCAGCCCAACAUGCAGCCACUCAUGCGCCCACAGCACCAGCAACUGCAGCCGCCACGCGCACCCGAUUCACAGCCACUCCCACCACCGCCGCCGCUGCCAUACCAGCCUCGCAUCAACGAGCCAUCGUCGUACCAGCAGCCCCGCAUCAGCGAGCCAUCGCCGUACCAGUCUCGCGUCAACGAGCCACAGAUGUACCAGCCUCGUCGCACGGACGCGCCGCCAAUUUUCAACAUGCAGCCGCCGUACCAGCCUCGCCAGAGUGACGCGCCGCCACCGUUCAACAUGCAGCCGCAGUACCAGCCUCGCCACAGCGACGGACCGCUCGCGCUCCCUGGACAGCCGCCGCUGCCGCCAUACCCUCCCCGUGCCGGUUUCCCCGGACAGCAGUACUCUUCCCGCUCCGACGACAUGCCGCCGGCUCGCUUCGACAACAACGCCGGCGGCAACACCAUGCCGGUGUGGAAGAGGGGGCAGAAGGAGUUCGACGAGGAGCUGAUGAGGGUGAUGCUGGGGAUCGCCAAGCUGGUGGAGCCAUUGAUGGACAAGAACGGCAACUUCCCCUACCACCUCUUCAGCCGGUCAGCGUGA
rnacentral:rRNA from 1 species